AACGCACCUUGCGCCCUUUGGCUAUUCCGAAGGGCAUGCCUGUUUGAGUAUCAUGAACACCUCAACUCUCAUGGUUUGCCAUGAUGAGCUUGGACUUUGGGGGUCUUGCUGGCCUAUGGUCAGCUCCUCUUAAACGAAUCAGCUUGCCAGUGUUUGGUGGCAUCACAGGUGUGAUAACUAUCUACGCUUGUGGUCUCCCAUCAGGUGACCUUCAGUGAUGGAGGUUUGUGCUGGGGCUCAUAAAGGUCUCUCCUCAGUGAGGACAGCUUUUUGAACGUUUGAUCUCAAAUCAGGUAGGACUACCCGCUGAACUUAA
rnacentral:misc_RNA from 1 species